rnacentral:misc_RNA from 1 species
CGCCCACCAUCACCGCUCUGGUCUGCGACCACACCGACGACGCGGCGGUGGAGGCGGUGUUCCGCCGCGUUGACGAGGCGGGCCGGCUCGACGUGCUGGUCAACUCGGCCUGGGGCGGCUACGAGCGGAUGAUGGAGAACGGGCGAUUCACCUGGAUGGCGCCGUUCUGGGAGCAGCCGGCCUGGCGAUGGGAAUCGAUGGUGACGGCCGGCGUUCGGGGCGCCUACGUGGCGAGCCAGCACGCGGCGCGCCGGAUGGUGCCCGCGAAGCGCGGUCUCAUCGUCCACAUUUCGUCGUUCGCGGCCAAGAAGUUCGGCGGCAACACCGCCUGCGGCAUCGCCAAGGCGGCCACCGACAAGAUGGCCGCCGAUAUGGGGUUCGAGCUGCAGACCCAUGGGGUGACGGUGGUGUCGAUGUAUCCCGGCCUGGUCCGGACCGAGAACGUGCUCGCCGCCAAGGCGUUCGAUCUGAGCAACUCCGAGAGCCCCGAAUUCAUCGGUCGCGCGGUCGCCGCGCUGGCGGCCGAUCCCAACGUCUCGCGAUGGAACGGCCAGGUGGUAGUGGCCGCCGAAUUGGGCCGCGACUACGGCUUCACCGACAUCGACGGCAAGCAGCCCAAACCUCUGGCCUGGGGCAGCUUCUGAUGGAGGACGCGGCGUUCAAACGGCAGCCGGAGGCGGCGUCGGACAUCCUGGCCGACACCGAAGCCCUGGGCUUCGUCAUGGCUUCGGAUCCCAAGGUCGGAGCAUUCCUCGCGGCGCUCGCGGCCUCGAAGCCCGGUGGCCGGUUGCUCGAACUGGGCACCGGGACCGGCCACGGCACGGCAUGGCUUCUGGUUGGCAUGGACGCCGGGGCCACCCUCGACACCGUGGACAACGACGCGGCGGUCGUCGCCGUGGCGCAGCGUCACCUUGGCGGCGAUUCCCGCGUGACCUUCCAUGUCGUCGACGGAGCUGAGUUCAUCGAGCAAUCGUCCCCGGGCGCCUACGACCUGAUCUAUGCCGACGCCUGGCCGGGCAAGUUCUCACAGCUCGACGAGGCGCUGGCCCUGCUCAAGGUGGGCGGCAUCUACUUCAUCGACGACCUGCUGCCACAGGAGAACUGGCCGGAAGGGCACGCCCCGAAGGUACCGGUGCUGAUCGACGAGAUCGAGCGACGCGAGGGCUUCGUGACGGCGCGGCUGGCCUGGGGGUCGGGGUUGAUGCUGGUCGUGCGCACGGCCUGAGAACGAUGCGGUAUCUCCACACCAAUCUGAUCGCGAGGGACUGGCAGCGGCUGGCGGCCUUCUAUGAGGAGGUCUUCGGCUGCGUGCGCGUGCUGCCGGAACGCCACCUGAGCGGCGAGUCCAUGGAACGCGGCUCGAGCCUCCCCGGAGUACGGAUCGAUGGCGUCCAUCUCCGCCUGCCCGGGCUUGGUGCCGAUGCGCCGACGCUGGAGGUGUUCCAGUACUCGCAGAAUGUCGAAGCUGCCGCGCCGCCGGCGAACCGUGUCGGGUUCGGGCAUAUCGCUUUCGAGGUGGACGACGUGGCCGCCACCCGGGACGCGGUGGUCGCCGCCGGCGGCGACGUGGUCGGCACCAUCGAGAGCGUGGCGAUUCCUGGCGCUGGGCGCAUCACCUGGACCUACACGCGCGACCCCGAGGGCAAUAUCAUCGAGCUGCAACGGCGCGGCGCCUAGGGCUCCACCGGGCGCGGUGAUAGGAUGGCGCGCCCCCAUGCCCCCAUCCGCCCCAGUCGCCGCAGAGCCGGUGCACGACGUGCCGGCGUUCGAACCCUACGUUCCCGCGCACGCGCAGCUUCGGGAGUUGACGCCGGUGCCCCUCGUCGUCGGCACGGUGCUCGGCGUGAUCUUCGGCGCCUCGUCCUUGUACCUGGUCUUGAAGGUCGGGAUGACGGUCAGCGCCUCGAUUCCGGUGGCGGUGAUUUCGAUCGCGCUGUUCCGGCUGCUGUCGAAGUUCGGCGGGCGCGACGCGACCAUUCUCGAAAACAACGUCGUGCAGACAGCCGGGUCGGCGGGCGAAUCGAUCGCCUUCGGCCUGGGCGUGACGAUGCCCGCGAUCAUGAUCCUCGGGUUCGACCUCGAGAUCGCGCGCGUGGCAUUGGUGGCCGUGCUCGGCGGCCUGCUGGGCAUCCUGAUGAUGAUCCCGCUGCGGCGCGCCCUGAUCGUGCAGCAGCACGGGGUGC